rnacentral:misc_RNA from 1 species
AACGCACCUUGCGCCUUUUGGUAUUCCGAAAGGCAUGCCUGUUUGAGUGUCAUGAACUCUCAACCCCCCGGGUUUAUGAUCUGGGAAGGUUGGACUUGAGCGCUGCCGUCCGCGGCUCGCUUUAAAUGUGUCAGUGGGUUGAAGCGCCUACGCCGGACGUGAUAAGUUUCGUCUGGUAAAGCGUGGAUCCCGCUAAUAACCACCAUCUUUUGACUCUGACCUCAAAUCAGGUAGGACUACCCGCUGAACUUAA